CUUUCUACGGGGGGCAGCAGUGGGGGAUAUUGCACAAUGGGGGGAACCCUGAUGCAGCGACGCCGCGUGGGUGAAGAAGCGCUUCGGCGCGUAAAGCCCUGUCAGCAGGGAAGAAAAUGACGGUACCUGAAGAAGAAGCCCCGGCUAACUACGUGCCAGCAGCCGCGGAAAUACGUAGGGGGCAAGCGGUAUCCGGAUUUACUGGGUGUAAAGGGGGCGCAGACGGCGGGGCAAGCCAG
rnacentral:rRNA from 1 species